AUAGAGUUUAAUAUAUGUAGUAAUUAAUUGAGUUAUAAAUAAAUUUUUGGUUAUUAUGAAAUUUAUUUAAUUGGGGUGAUUAAGAGAUAAAUAAAACUCUUUUUGAAUAUUAAUAAUAUAUUUAGUUAUAUGAUCCAUAAUUAAUGAUUAUAAGAUUAAAUUACCUUAGGGAUAACAGCAUAAUUCCUUUUAAGAGUUCAUAUUGAAAAAGGAGAUUGUGACCUCGAUGUUGGAUUAAGAUUAGUUUUGGGUGCAGAUGUUCAAUAACUAGGUCUGUUCGACCUUAAAAUUCUUACA
rnacentral:rRNA from 1 species